rnacentral:lncRNA from 1 species
AUGAAAACCAGACACUUGCUUUUGUUCAUCUCAGAUUCAAUCUUAUACACCCCUGCAAUGGCUUUGCUGGCGUUCGUCACGGUGAGCCAUCUGUUGGACAUGGAGAUGCGCCCGGCGAAGGAGCUGUUGAGUGGGUCUGCUUUUCCUGCCUGCUCAAUUUUUGCUCUAUCGGUGGGUCUCUCUACCAGGGGGAAUCGCCAGCAGCCCUGGGGAAGGAAAGAUGUGGAGGAAACUUGCUUUUCAGGAGGCCCCAGCCAAUGUCAACAGGACAUCCCUCUGUCUGUGCCCGAGGGUGGUGGCGCGCAACAGCCCCUUAACCUCACGGAGCGCUUUGCCCAGCUCUCCUGGUACGAUGCCUUGGCUGGGACAUGGGUGCCGAUAGCCGUCAUCCGUCCAGGGAAAUCAAACCCACUCAACAGCUCCUUCGCCAGGCACAUAUCCAUGUCCAACAGAUGGCUCACCGUGACGAACGCCAGCAAAGCCAUUGCAGGGGUGUAUAAGAUCGAAUCUGAGAUGAACAAAAACAAGUGUCUGGUUUUCAUCCGUCUGAUUGUAACAGAGCCUGCACCAACCUCAGCUCCGGUAUCCCAGGUGGCCCUGGUCAGCAGCGGGACGGCAGCUGCGGAGCCUGGAUCUUGGUCCAGCCGUAUUGCCGUGGUGGUGGUGCCGGUGGUGGGGUCAGUGAUGGUGGCGGCGCUGUUGAUAUGGCAGAUAAAGAAUAUUGCUCGCUACGUGCGCUCGUUCGGCAGCCGUCAUGAUUUCCCUGCCAGAGCCGCCCCGUCCCAGCAGGCCAGCGACUCAGGCCCCAUGCAGGAGCUGGCAGAGCUGACGCAGCUGGAGGACGCCAGAGGUGGGGACCGGUCAGCUCUGCUGAAUGGGAAACUUCUCGGCAGCGCUGAAAUGCUAAACGUGGGGGACUGGAGAGUGGGGAGGGAUGAACCCUGUCCCUCAACAUCCACUCAAUGUGCAGUGGCAGUCAAGACUGGUACUUUUUAGCUUGGAAAAGAGAUGACUAACGGGGGAUACAAUGGAGGUCUAUAAAAUCAUGACUGGGUUGGAGAAAGUAAAUAAGGAAGUGUUGUUUAUUCCUUCUCAUAACACAAGAACUAGGGGUCACCAAAUGAAAUGAAUAGGCAGCAGUUUUAAAACAAAUAAAAGGAAGUAUUUCUUCA